UAAUAUUUUGAGAUCUAGGCUGUGAGAUGAAGGCUGGAGCAUCUGAGAGUUCUUUGCUCAGUGUCAAAUCAUACUGACACUUGACGAUUCCUUCCUUGGUUUUGCCUAUGCAGGUGAGGAUUCCUUCAUCUCUGUGACUGGCUUGCUUGAUGGUUAGGGUCUGAUCGCUGCCUGAGACACCAUAUCGGUACUCCUCAGAGUUGGUAAGCUCUACGCCAUUCAGUACCCAUUUCACAUCAGUGGCACCAGCAAUGUUGGCUUUUAAAACCAGUCUUUGACCUUCGUUUAUGCUCAUCUGAGUAGAAAAUGCUUUAAUCUCAGCAUGAGUUCUGACUUCUUCUGAUGCCUGUGAUGUUUUAGUGAUUUCCUCAUGGACAAUGGAUUUUUCCAGGGAGGUUGCUGCUGAUUUCUUGACUUCUUCAGAAAUCAGAACCUUUGAAGCUUCCUCUUUGAGGGCUAACUUUUCUUGAGAUUUUGCCUCUGACAUCUUAAUUUCUUCAGACCUUAGGGCUUUUUGGGAAAUUUCCUCUUGGACAACAGCUUUCUUCUGAGGUGUAAUUUCAGAAGUCUUUUGUGUAGAGACUUUCUGUGCCUCAGUAUCUUUUAUAGCUAAAAAAAAAAAACCUCUGUAAGGCAAACUUAAUUAGAAAGAGACCCCCACCUUUUACUCUUCUAGAUUCUGCAUGUGAAAAACAUAAAAAGAAAAAAAGUCAACUUCUUCAUGCAAUAUGCAGAGUGUUCAUAUGAGGAGAGACUUUCCCUUGUCUCUGUCAUCUGUGAUUUCACUUCCCUGACAGAAGACGAAGCUUCCAUCUCAGAUGUUUUCUUAAAUGAUGAAACAGCAUACGCCUCUGUUCUUGUCAGCUCAGGGAAAACAGAUCUGGGGACCUCUUCAUCUCUGCGUUGGGAAGCAUAGGUGGUAUAAUCCCCUCCUGUCACGUCCAACGUUGCAUAGUCAGAAGCUUCGCCCUUGUAGUUGGUGCACACAGCACG
rnacentral:antisense_RNA from 1 species